CACCCGAAUGGCGGUCCCACUUUGCUCCCCCAAAGCGCAACCGUCCCCGAGUGUGUGUGGGGGGCUACCUGUUGGCCAGGGCGCAGGGUGCACGAAAUUCGGGUAACUUUGCUCCAAGAUACUUGCGUGUGUCCCGACUCUCAUUUAAUUUAUAGGGGAGAGGGAUUCGCCAAAUCCCUGUUUUCUGGGGCGAGCCUCCCUCCCCCCACCCUUGGACCCAAGCUGCCAGAAGGAAGAAGGAAGGAUUGUUUGUCACCGGAGAAAACCACCUGUGGUUUGCAAAGGGCCUCAGUCGAGUCAGGGGCAGGCGGGGCAGAUCCGAGCCCAGUGGGAGGGGCGACUCGCGGGGGCGAACAGGGGCAGGGGCAGGGGCAGGAGCGCCCAGCUCGCGGGGCCUGCUCAGCCGGCCUCACCGCCAGGUUCCCUGCAGGGGGCCGAGGGCGCCCUGCGUGCUGGGAGCCUUCCCAUUACGCAGUUCCUGUACCUUUAAAUCCCAGUCCCGGAGUGGGCGGGGGCGCCCCGGCUGGACCCCGGUUUCCAGGCCGGCGGGUGCCCCGGGAAAGCCCCGGGAGGGGAGCGCGGGGCGGGGGGCGCGGUGGGCGCGGUGGGCGGGGCGCCCGGGGUCCCCGCCCGCGCGUCCUGCCGCGGCCCUCGCCAGCUGGGCCGCGCCCCUCUCGGGGCCGCCGUGCUCCGGGGGCGGGCGGGGGCUGGGGCGGGGGCGCGCGGGCGGGGUGCGGGCGCGCGCGUCGCGCGGCCCGAGCGCGCGAGCCGGGCCCCAAGCGCACGCCGCCGCCACCGCCGCCGCCGCCCGAGCCGCCGCAUUGCUGCUGCCGCCGCCGCCCCGCGCCCGGCCCGCGGCCCCCAAUAUGGUGCAGCCGCCCGCGCCGCCGCCCGUGCCGCCGCCGCCCGCGGGCCCCGCCGCCGCCCUCGGGCGCCCGCAGCGCGGCAGCCGCAGGUGGGGGGCCGCGGCCCGGGCCUGAACCGCCCCCUGCCCGGCCUCGGCGCGGCGCCCUCCCCGCGGGGCUGCCGGCGAGGGGCCCUCGCCGCUGA
rnacentral:lncRNA from 1 species